CCCUUAGAUGUCCGGGGCCGCACGCGCGCUACACUGAAGGAAUCAGCGUGGCUUUCUCCCUGACCCGAAAGGGUUGGGAAACCCGUUGAAUCUCCUUCGUGAUAGGGAUUGGGGCUUGAAAUUGUUCCCCAUGAACGAGGAAUUCCCAGUAAGCGCGAGUCAUAAGCUCGCGUUGAUUACGUCCCUGCCCUUUGUACACACCGCCCGUCGCUCCUACCGAUUGGAUGAUCCGGUGAGCUGGCCGGACAGGCGGACUGCAUCUGAUGCUCUUCGCUUGGAAGGCUCGCAAACCUUAUCAUUUAGAGGAAGGAGAAGUCGUAACA
rnacentral:rRNA from 1 species